UACGAAGGGGGCGAGCGUUGUUCGGAUUUACUGGGCGUAAAGGGCGCGCAGGCGGCCGCAUUUGUCAGGCGUGAAAGCCCCGGGCUUAACCUGGGAACUGCGUUUGAUACGGUGUGGCUAGAGUUCGGGAGAGGAGAGUGGAAUUCCCAGUGUAGAGGUGAAAUUCGUAGAUAUUGGGAAGAACACCGGUGGCGAAGGCGGCUCUCUGGGACGGUACUGACGCUGAGACGCGAAAGCGUGGGGAGCGAACAGG
rnacentral:rRNA from 1 species